CUACGGGUGGUACCAGUGGGGAAUAUUGGACAAUGGGCGCAAGCCUGAUCCAGCAAUGCCGCGAGAGUGAAGACGGCCUUAGGGUUGUAAAACUCUUUCGCUAGGGAAGAUAAUGACUGUACCUAGUAAAGAAGUCCCGGCUAACUCCGUGCCAGCAGCCGCGGUAAUACGGGGGGGACUAGCGUUGUUCGGAAUUACUGGGCGUAAAGAGUUCGUAGGCGGACUGACAAGUUAGAGGUGAAAUCCCAGGGCUCAACCCUGGAACUGCCUUUAAAACUGUCAGUCUAGAGACCGGAAGAGGUUAGGGGAAUACCUAGUGUAGAGGUGAAAUUCGUAGAUAUUAGGUGGAACACCAGUGGCGAAGGCGCCUAACUGGUCCGGUACUGACGCUGAGGAACGAAAGCGUGGGGAGCAAACAGGAUUAGAUACCCGGGUAGUC
rnacentral:rRNA from 1 species